CCUACGGGUGGCAGCAGUCGAGAAUCAUUCACAAUGGGGGAAACCCUGAUGGUGCGACGCCGCGUGGGGGAAUGAAGGUCUUCGGUUUUUAAAUCCUUGUCAUGUGGGAGCAAAUUAAAAAGUUAGUACCACAAGAGGAAGAGACGACUAACUCUGUGCCAGCAGCCGCGGUAAUACAGAGGUCUCAAGCGUUGUUCGGAAUCACUGGGCGUAAAGCGUGCGUAGGCUGUUACGUAAGUCGUGUGUGAAAGGCGCGGGCUCAACCCGGGAACGGCACAUGAUACUGCGAGACUAGAGUAAUGGAGGGGGAAUCGGAAUUCUCGGUGUAGCAGUGAAAUGCGUAGAUAUCGGGAGGAACACUCGUGGCGAAGGCGGGUUCCUGGACGUUAACUGACGCUGAGGCGCGAAGGCCAGGGGAGCGAAAGGGAUUAGAUACCCGGGUAGUC
rnacentral:rRNA from 1 species